rnacentral:rRNA from 1 species
UACGGGGGGGGCAAGCGUUGUUCGGAAUUACUGGGCGUAAAGGGCUUGUAGGUGGCCCCAUAAGUCAGACGUGAAAUCCCUCGGCUCAACCGAGGAACUGCGUCUGAGACUGGGGGGCUUGAAUCCGGGAGAGGGAUGCGGAAUUCCAGGUGUAGCGGUGAAAUGCGUAGAUAUCGGGAGGAACACCGGUGGCGAAGGCGGCAUCCUGGACCGGUAUUGACACUGAAAAGCGAAAGCCAGGGGAGCAAAC